CAAGGCUUGACAUCGUCUGAUGACUCUAGAGAUAGAGAGUUCUUCUUCGGAAGACAGAUAGACAGGUGGUGCAUGGCUGUCGUCAGCUCGUGUCGUGAGAUGUUGGGUUAAGUCCCGCAACGAGCGCAACCCUUAUCCUAUGUUGCCAGCACGUAAUGGUGGGAACUCAUGGGAGACUGCCGUGGAUAACACGGAGGAAGGCGGGGAUGACGUCAAAUCAUCAUGCCCCUUAUGAUCUGGGCUACACACGUGCUACAAUGGUGACUACAAAGGGAAGCAGCCUCGUGAGAGUGAGCAAAUCCCAAAAAGGUCAUCUCAGUUCGGAUUGUAGUCUGCAACUCGACUACAUGAAGCUGGAAUCGCUAGUAAUCGCGAAUCAGAAUGUCGCGGUGAAUACGUUCCC
rnacentral:rRNA from 1 species